AUUGAACGCUGGCGACAUGCCUUACACAUGCAAGUCGAACGGCAGCACGGGUGCUUGCACCUGGUGGCGAGUGGCGAACGGGUGAGUAAUACAUCGGAACAUGUCCUGUAGUGGGGGAUAGCCCGGCGAAAGCCGGAUUAAUACCGCAUACGAUCUACGGAUGAAAGCGGGGGACCUUCGGGCCUCGCGCUAUAGGGUUGGCCGAUGGCUGAUUAGCUAGUUGGUGGGGUAAAGGCCUACCAAGGCGACGGUCAGUAGCUGGUCUGAGAGGACGACCAGUCACACUGGGACUGAGACACGGCCCAGACUCCUACGGGAGGCAGCAGUGGGGAAUUUUGGACAAUGGGCGAAAGCCUGAUCCAGCAAUGCCGCGUGUGUGAAGAAGGCCUUCGGGUUGUAAAGCACUUUUGUCCGGAAAGAAAUCCUUGGCCCUAAUACGGUCGGGGGAUGACGGUACCGGAAGAAUAAGCACCGGCUAACUACGUG
rnacentral:rRNA from 1 species